CAAAACCUUAAAAGCAGCUUCUUCAGAAUAUGGGUGUUGCUUCCCUUGGCAAGAGCCUAGCAAUCCAUACUGCACCUCCGUGUGGACCAGAAAGUCCUGCCGGCUCUGAUGGACAGGGGUGUCAGCUUUAGGUGUAUCAGCAUUUGGUGCCCAAUGUGUAUGUGGGGUUUGAAGAAAAGAGAGGACCAGAAUAUUCCAGGACUGGAGGUAAAUAAAGCACACUCACAGAAGUUACUGGAGUACUGUACAUGAUGAAGAAGCGAUAUAGUGCCUCCUGCAUCAAACACAAGUGACCGGUGAACAACAGUACCACUGUACCCGAACCACAGGGUUCUUGAUGCAGAGGAUAUGGACAAGGCAAAACAUACAGUUCCUCAUAUCAUGGUGACCCCAGCCAUAAAAUUAUGUCCAUUGCUAGUCCCUAACUUUAAUUUUGCUAGUUAUGAUCUGUAACAUAAAUAUUUGUUAUCUCAA